AGAGGACUUGUGGAAUCUAGCGGCGAACGGUCGAGUAACACGUAAGCAACCUGCCCCAAAGACUGGGAUAACAACCCGAAAGGGUUGCUAAUACCGGAUGUGCAUACCGAAUCACAUGUUUUGGUAUGUAAAAAGAGCAAUCUGCUUUGGGAUGGGCUUGCGGCCUAUCAGCUAGUUGGUGGGGUAAAGGCCUACCAAGGCGACGACGGGUAGCUGGUCUGAGAGGAUGACCAGCCGGAUUGGGACUGAGAUACGGCCCAGACUCCUACGGGAGGCAGCAAUUAGGAAUCUUGCGCAAUGGGGGAAACCCUGACGCAGCGACGCCGCGUGAGUGAUGAAGUCUUUCGGGAUGUAAAGCUCUGUCCUACGGGGAAGAAAAAAAUGACGGUACCCGUAGAGAAAGCCCCGGCUAACUACGUGCCAGCAGCCGCGGUAAUACGUAGGGGGCGAGCGUUGUCCGAAUUUACUGGGCGUAAAGCGCGUGUAGGCGGCCUUUUAAGUCAGGUGUGAAAUCUUGCGGCUCAACCGCAAAACGGCAUUUGAAACUGGAAGGCUUGAGUAUGGGAGAGGAGAGUGGAAUUCCUGGUGUAGCGGUGAAAUGCGUAGAUAUCAGGAGGAACACCCGUGGCGAAGGCGGCUCCCUGGCCCAUUACUGACGCUGAGACGCGAAAGCUAGGGGAGCGAACGGGAUUAGAUACCCCGGUAGUCCUAGCCGUAAACGAUGGACACUAGGUGUUAGUGGUAUCGACCCCACUAGUGCCGAAGCUAACGCAUUAAGUGUCCCGCCUGGGGAGUACGGCCGCAAGGUUGAAACUCAAAGGAAUUGACGGGGGCCCGCACAAGCGGUGGAGCAUGCGGAU
rnacentral:rRNA from 1 species